GAUGAACGCUGGUGGCGUGCCUAAUACAUGCAAGUCGAGCGAAGCGGGGACGGGUGAGUAACACGUGGAUAACCUACUAUAAGACUGGGAUAACUUCGGGAAACCGUAGCUAAACCGGCUACUUAUAGAUGGAUCCGCGCUGCAUUAGCUAGUUGGUAAGGUAACGGCUUCCCAAGGCAACGAUGCAUCGCCGACCUGAGAGGGGGAUCGUCCACACGGGAACGGAGACACGUUCCAGACUCCUACGUGAGGCAGCCGUAGGGAAUCGUCCGCUAGGGGCGAAAGCCUGACGGACCAACGCCGCGUGAGUGAUGAAGGUCUUCGGAUCGUAAAACUCUGUUAUUAGGGAAGCGGUACCUAAUCAGAAAGCCACGGCUAACUACGUGCCAGCAGCCGCGGUAAUAC
rnacentral:rRNA from 1 species